CCGGAGCCCCCUCCUGCAUCGGCCCCAGGGGAGGAAGCCGCCUGUCAGGCUGCCUCGGCGUGUCAAAUCCUCUUGCUGCCUAAUUGUGAGACGGCGGCGUUUAAAGAAACGCUUUCUGGCCGCCUGCCACACCGCAAACUGCUUGGUAUAAUUUUAUUAUUAAGGAGAGAGAAAAAGAGAAGGGGCUGGAGGAGAGAGAAAGGGGAGAGCGGAGGAAAUUGCUUCGUCCAAGUCAGCUGGUGGAGUAUUCCGCUCAAUAUGAAAGCGGGGACAGCUUUCCAGUUGGCAAGCUGACUCCGUUAAUUGCGCAUUCAGUCUCUACUUAGGGUAAUUGGAACGAAGCGGGGCCUAGCUCUGACAAUUAGGGUCUGCGACUAGGCCAUUAACCCUUUCUGCAACCAGCCCCCGCCCCAUCGACACCAGGCGGGGUAGGGAUCAGGCGAGGACCCCACACUGAGGUGCGGGCUGCAGCGGGGAGCUGGACGGGGAGCCGCGCGGAGGGUGGGGUCUGCGGCCUCUCCGCCACUGCUACAGAUGUUUCGGCCAUGUAAGACAAAGGCAGAGCACGGCAGUCGCCGGGAGAAAAUCCGCAGGACUCCCUCUGGGGCAGCCGCCCUCGGAAGUCAGCCGAGUGAAGCAGCUGUUCCUUGCACACUCCACUUGACCAAAGAUGAUGAUAAAUGAGGCCAGGGCUGCGUCAGGGAUGCGGCGGCAAGGGCCGUGCAGGGCGGUGCGAGGGGCCUGCAGCCCCCGCACUCCGCUCGGCUAAGUGCGCGCCCGGAGGACAGCGUCCGAGAACCCCCUUCCCCCCGUCCAGCAGACCUUCUUGCAGGUCCGCACCCUUCCUUGAAUACUGGGGUCCCCGCGGUGUCCUCUCCUCCUCCCCCAGCACGCGCGCCCCAAACCUAUUAAUGUUCGUAAAUAAUGAAUAAAGAAGCGCUUCCUACA